CACUUCACUGCUCCGUCAUUCUUAACCAGCUACAGAGACAAUACAGGGAAAUAUCCGAGGUGACAACCAUAUUUAAUAUCAAAAACCACAUAUGACAGCCCAUUUGCCAAUAUUGGAACACGGUUAACAUGAACAUUUACAUUUAUUCACUUUUAUUUGACAGUUUUGAAAAUCAGGAAUACGAUGCCUGAGGUGAGAUAACAGCACUAACAUCUAAACGCUGCUAUUUUUACUCAACAUAAGCUCUCUAAGAAUAUGUUAAGUACGAUAUGAAAGAAAACGUCUGUUUUACUGCCAUAGCAUGAAUGAUAUGAUAACACAGCUACUUGUUAAGCAUUAUCACUUGUUAAAUUGAGACUCUAAAUAGCAGGAUGACACGAACAAAUCAACAAACGGGCUAAUAAAUGUGCUAAUUAGCCAAAAGUGGCUCAAUUGAGGCUCUUAUCCCUGUUGAUGAAUGCCAGAAUUAGCACUAAACUUCAAUUUAAAGAAAAAAAAAUCCUGCUGUACCUGCAAAGAUUUAGCUUUUUCCAUCAGAUACAUGACUUGAAACCGAGACGUUAGCUACAAAGUACUGGACGCUAAUGCUAGCUGCAUGCUAAUGUUAGCAAACUACCUGUUAAACGUGUCUUUAAACUAAUAAUUCAGUGAAAUUAUCUUUACAUUUGCUUUUCAGUUACUCGGGGAUGAAAAAACAAUUCAUCAGAUUGUCUGUGUUUAUAUGACUUACAACCUUGAACAGAGUAGUAGCUGCCUUUAAACAGAGCUUGAUAAGUUAUGCAGAGGUGUGUAGUUGUGAAAUAAAAGGCUUAGUUUUCAAUGGUUAACAUCAUUGCUAAGCAACAAAGCUGGAUCAUUGGUGUCCUUGCUUUCAGCACAGAAACUCUAGAAUUACUUUGUGCUGAACCAAAGCACAAAGGGUCAAAAUUCACGAUGAUUAAUGAUCUUCAUUUACAACUACUGUAGCUCGUUUUGGUCUUUUACCUUGUUCAUCAGACUACAUUGUAGAAGUUGUGUUCCUGCUAAUACCAGCUAGCUUGGCUCCUGUAAAUACAGACCCUGUCAGGUACAUGAUAAUGAAUUGUAUUUUGUACAUAAAACUGGAUUGAAAACUUCAUUUAACAUGAACACAACUCAUUAGCGUGAAGUUUUCGGAAAAACCGACUCACGAUGUUGUGAUUACGGUAAGAAAGAGGCGCUCAAAAUGUCUCUUUUCACAAUUUUAAGGAACAAAUAAUGAUAACCAAGCUUCAUAUUCAAAAGUAUGGCUGCCAUGGGAGUAUAAUCUCAGUGUUAGCAGAGAUUUGCAUCACCAGCUUUUGAUUUUCUCUGCAGGGAAACAUUGACAUGAUGCCUGUGGUUAUACUAACCUCCAUAAUGCUGUAGCUGUCAACCAGAGACCUUGCCCUGGCUUAUGAAAGUAGAUGUGUCGCGGUUUCAGUGUGACUUGUUUCUGACGUUUUGCACCUGCAAUGAUAAAAAUAUCAAUAAUUUGUUUAACCAAUCAGUAAUUCUUCACUACUGUGCUUUUUUCAGGUACCAUUUUAUUGCCAAUCUGAUUGGAGGAAAGUGACACCCAGUAGUUUCCUCAUUAUCACCCACUCAAAGCUGUUUGACAUCUUUGAUUUUCCUAUCCACUUUUUGUUGCCCGAACCCUUCUGAACCCUUAUCCUGGGGUCAAAGUUCACUGCACUCUGUUUAGUCAGCAGACGGUACAAGGUCUCACCCUGCGUGUUGGAAAAAAAACAGCUUCAUUCUUCUUUCGCUAUCUUUUGUGUUUCUAAUCCCAUCUUUCAUCCCCACUCGGGGCCGUGUUUAAUCUCCUUCCACUUCCAGUUUUUCACAGUCACAUUAGACCAGCGUCCAAUCUGCCAGAGGGCUCGAAAAAGUCAUUAUUCUUACACUUGUGGUAAAAACAGGCCAUUUAUAUUGAUCGCUGUAGUCAAUACAAACCAGUGGGGUUAUUGAUCCCACUGUUCUCUGUCUGUAUAAAGUCAUUUUUCUUUUUAGAGAUUGUUGGGUAUUUUCUUGUUUGUUUCCUCAGGAAGGAAAGACUAAAUCUCCUCUAGUCACCACUUUUCCUUACGAAAAUUUGUUUUCUUUUUACUCUGAAUUACACAAAACUUUUGCUGCUGGUCUGGAGCCAUUACUUUGUUUAAAGCUUGUCAUCUACUGCCAUCUAGUGGUGGUUUUAAGGUCAUAUCUGAGGAUGGGUGUGUCAGUGAGAUGGUUGGUUUGACUUUGGGGCUGUAAAAUUGAUCUUUUUAAUAUCUUUGUAUCAUCUCAAACCGCCAAACAUCAAAUUGAUCGAUGACUUUGAUUUGAUUUUAAGUGUCGACAGAAAAAUUACCGCAGAAAAAAAAUUCAAACUCAUCACCCGGACUGUCAAGUGAGUAUAAUUUGGAUGAUUUGUGGAAGGAGGCAGGAUGUGAACACAACUGUUCAAGCUGUCCCUCACAUUUGAACUUGAUACCAGAGACGGCAGAUUUGUUCAGCAAGCUCAGCCCUCCCCCCAAAAGACACUCGUUGUAAUCCGAGUCUGCCUUGCAGCUGUUUCUCCCUCUCAAACACUCCGGUUGGACUUUCUCAUCUGCUUCAGAGGCUGUCAAAUGUCAUUUCCCUUGGCUUCCCAACUCCUCUUUGAAAAUCAUAUUUUCUUUCUGGCUCGGCCAAUGGGAGGCGCUCAUUGCCUUUAGGUUUAUUAUGUCAGGAGCCCCAGUCUGGACCCACAACCUUUUCCGCCAAAUUCCAUCAGCAGACUUGCAGCUCUUCCAGGAGGCCGGCGGCAUGUUGAAAUCUGGAAAGUAUUAAACAACCUGUUGGUGGAGGGGGGGAGCAGGGAAGGGGAAGGGGGGAUGAAGGAGGGAGAGAGGGGAAGUAGAAAGUGGGGGAUGGGGGAGAAGAGAAGCAGAAUGCAAAAUUGUUCAUAUCCCGCCCUUUGCCUGGCUCUGCUCCCUCUCCCCUCCCACACACACACACAUAAGAGUGUGAGCUCCCCCCAAAAAUGCAGACCACUCCCCAAGCAGCUCCAGCAUUUUUCUUUUAUGUUUGCAGCACUAUUUUGCAAGUACGUUUUUUUUUUUUAAACGGGUCAUAAACAAACAGCCGUUUCUGCUCUGUAGCCCUGCAAUGAAGGGGUGUGUGUGGGUGGGUGUGGUGUGUGCGUAUGUGUGUGGAAGUGUUCGCUGGCAGAGACCUGGAAGGAGAGACGGGCCUUAAAAGUGAGGUUGGACGCGAGAAAACUGGAUGCCAUCCAAACAUCCUUUCCCAUGCCUUGAUGCAGAUAUCUCUGUGUGCUGUAACACGGGGGGAGGGUCUCUCUGCAGGGAGGUAGCCCGCCUGUUAGAAGAUGUAUAGAAUCCAAUCUGUGCCAAGUUAACUUCCUCAAGCACGAAAAACAAAAAUGAACUUCUAGGGAAAAUAAAUCCGCCUUCACUGCCAAGUAAUUGCAUAAAUUUCUAAGUAUUUAUUUUGAAUUCUCAGUAGCCUCCUCCUUUGUUCUGAGUUUUAACAUCAUUUAUACUCGUCAGCUAUCUAGUGAAGACUUUCCACCUUUACUUGCUUUUCAAAUGCUCCAACUCGUCUCUCUUCAAAUCUGACUGAACAGAGUACAAAACAGUCAAACUCUCAAAUCUAAUCAUUAUUUUUUUUUAACACAUAUGUCUUCGAGGAUUGCUUUAAGACUCCUCCAUGAUUGCAUGAAGCGGCGCUACGGAUAUUGGCGGUAACAGAAACAGCGAACAUAAACAUUCCAGUACCCAGAUUUGACCUCUUGACCUGUAAACCCUGGAACUGCAGGGCUGGCAGGAGGAGACCACACACACACACGUGGUGGGAGUAGGAGUAAGAGGAGGAGGAGGAGGAGGAGGAGAGGGGGGGAUGCGAAAACCUCUCUGGUGUCCUCGCCUUAAAGAGCUUCAGAUGCCUGUGCUGAAGACUGUGAAAAAUUAGCCCGUCGUCUCAGAAUCGCCGCAGUUUCCCCGCUCUGGGAUGGUUGUAGGUAUGUCAGAGCGAGCGGAUGGCUUUCUCAGAUGGAAAAGUUAUUUAAAGGGGAAGACAGCUCCCGUCUGCCGCCCCUUUGUUGUUGUGCUAAAAGAAGUUUCUAUCAUGAUUCAGGAAACUGUGUCAUAACCUCUUUGGGCUAGACUCAAAUUUGCCGUCUUAAAAAGUGCUUUUCUGUCGAGCGGAACCACAAUUCCUGAAUCUGUCUGCAACUCAGCAGUCUGAAACCAUAAAUUUAUUAAAGUUUUAUUGUUCUUUUUGUGCUAGAACAAGCAGUUUGAACAUCGUAGGCGAGUUUGAUGUGUCCAUCCUUCAAAGCAGUGAUUUAAUAACGUUGACGUCGAUUAUGAAAUCAGCUUUAACCACCACUGCCCCAUUUUAUACAUCCGGCUCGAACCAAAAUCUGGCGACUCACUUUUACCAUAAUUUCCAAAGAAACAAUGAUUCACGGCUUUAUUUUUCCAUUCUUCUCCUUGUGUCUGUGCUCUGCUGUCUCACUCGACUGCAGAGAAUCGCUGUUCCUGCAGCCAUGUGCGUCCCCAGGAGGUCUGGCCUGGCCUGCACUCAGCCAUGACCACAUAGUAUGGGGCUGGGGGCUUCUCGCUGCUCUCUACACCCCUCCUCUCUGCCUGAGGCUCUUUCCAUGCCAAGGCCUGUUCGUGGCUGGCUGACACUUAAGGAAGGAGAGCACACACGUGUUAUGCACUCUUCUACCCGCCAAUAUACACCUAAAGGCAAAUGUAAACUUUUAUGCAUAAACUUGAUUAUUCAUCAGAAGUGUAAUUUCUAUCCUGGUUUUCAUCACAUUCAGGAUGUAGCGUUCACAUGCACACAGGAAAACCUGACUUUUCAUGCAUAACUUUUACAACAAAAAACCGCAGCAAUUUCGAAAUCUGAGAAUAUGAGCCGUUUGCGGCUUAUUGUAGGGCUUAUUGACGAUUAGGCUAGUUCAGGCAGGCCACAGAGUCAAGCUUAGCCAUCAGAGUAUCAGCUGAUCACAAUGCCAGCCCAUAUCAGCUGCAUGGAUGACUGUCCAUGCAUCCAAUUUGCAAAAUGUAAGAAUGCACACUCUAUUUAAACUGUUUAAACACCCCUACUUCUUCAGUAGUCUGCCUUGCAAUCCACUUUUUUUAAAACUAUAACUGAUUUAACUGUAGUGUCAAAUGUAUUGACUGCUCUUUUCCAUGUAUUUGCUGAUGGUCUUUCUGCCUUAGAUUACACAUGUGCAGACAACGCGGUAGUGUGCUCUCCCCGAACGCACAAGUGGGAUACUUAUGCUGCGUUCCAGUUGUACUCGGAAGUCGGAAUUUCCAAGCUCCGAGUCGGAAAUUCAUCCGGAACGCCCCGCUGAAGUCGGAUUUCCAACUCGGAAAGUCGGACAAUCCUCGCCGAUCCCAACUUGACGACAACGUCAUAAUCCAAGAUGGCAGCGCAGAUGGCAUCCACGGUAAAUAGUAACAGUGAAAGCUCUCGUAAUGUAUUAUUUACAAGCUCUUCUGUUUUGUUUUUGUGAUAUUUAUUAAGUGGUAUUUGUUGUGCGGCCCGAUGUCUAACUGUAAACACGGUGCUAUGGUGUUUGUAAGAGUAAAAUACAGCAUUGUUUACAACCGGUAUCGCUAACAACAGCUGACAAUUGUAAACAGCUAACAACGGCUAACUGUAGGCGUCCAUCUUGGUUUUCCAAAUUGUUAACUGGAACGCCUCAACUCGGGUUUAACGUCAUUCCCAGCUCUGACAUCCAACUUCUGAGGUAACUGGAAUGCAGCAUAUGAAAACAUGAGUAACACCAGGAUACUCAGGUUCAUUUAAAAGCAUAUAACAUUAAAAAAUCUGUGACUUUAUGCUGGGAACAGAGAGUUUAUCAGUGAAUCAAGGAAAACGAUAAAAAGAGGCUUUAUAGAUGUUGAUCACACAGCAAGUCUACAUCCCUGCCAACUUAGACUUGGCGCCUUCCCAACAGGGGCGUUAUGGCCUCACAAUACCCUCCUUGUUUAGCAGACACUGCAUGCCCACUGAGGAGCAAAAUGUUCUAAAGCUGACCAGGAAGUGGGGGAUCACAAAGGGUCAGUCCCCAUAGGGCCAGCUUUAAACUCUGACCUUCGAGUCCUUCUUCAACUUAAUCUUCCCUCCCGAGUCCAGACAUAAUGAGUAAUACCAGGGCCACUUAUUGACUGCAGGCGCACAGGGAACUGAAGGACGGUCUAAGAGAUGGGUCCCUGACAAAAAUAAGUAGCUCCUUUUGUGCAGAAAAUGUCUUUCAUUUUUUGUGUCUUUUUUUUCCACCAAUCUGAUAUUAUUUUUAAUAAAGUAGUCCUGCACGAUGAAAGCAAAUCUUUGAACAUCUCUAAUUUUCAGCUUUUUUAGCAUUCCUCAAAUUACUGAAAUUAAAGUCUAGCAAAAAGUUACAUCACCUCCUAAUGCUUCAAACGUGAAGAGUGUUUAAAGUUUCCCUCCCUGACUUAAAAACUUCAUAGUUUUGGGGGUGAGAUGAGGCCUCUGUGCAUUCCUGUUAGUUUUAUAAAACACAGUCUCCACUGUUCACAGGGGCUUAACCUCAGUGAUUUCAUCAUGCACACUAAUAUCAGGCCAGGCAGACUUUCCAUUACAGUCUAUCACCUUCCUGUUUUUUUCGUGUGACUUUAUAUGCAAACCUUCAAACCUUGUGGAAACACUGCAGCAAACUUCGAGGCCAAUUCACUCUCCUCAAAUCUCAACAGUGUCAUAAAUCAGGGUGUGUGUAGAGAUAGAAAACAACACUAGGGGGAAGACUCCCAGAGCACCAUGUGGAGAGAGGACUUUAAAACAAGCUGUACUGGGUGUUGGUCCUCCAUUUAACGACUUCGUCAUCCAGUUAAUGCUCCCCUCCCUCUGGCCGUGGCUCCCCAAGGGCCGAGCUGGAGAGGAGAGGGGGAAAAGUCCAGCCGAUGCUGGCUCUCUUCACCGUCCUGCCGGCCAGGCUUUGGCUGUCCUCCUCUUUUCUCUCCACCUCCUCCUCCUC